UGUGUGAGUUUGUAUAUGAGUGUGUGUGAGUGCAUGUAUAUGUUUGUGUGUGUGAGUGUGUGUGUAUACAGGGCAAACUUUACUCUUGAUCAAGAGGGUGUCCUCAGAAAGUGGGAAAUCCAUUUGGCUUUUAUUCUAACUCAGGUGGUGACUGUGUCUUUUCCCCAUUGGCUGGGGUCUGACCUCAGAGUCUUAAUUCAAUUGGUUAGUCUGAAAAGAAUUGGCACACAGGAAAUGAAGGAAGGAGGAAGAGGUCACCGCUCGAGGCUAUCAAAUUCUUGGAAUACAGCAGUGGUUCUUUGUGUAAAUAAAGUUUUUACUAAUGGGGGAUGGGGAAGUGUAAAAAUUUGUAGACGAGUCCUACAAUGUUUUGGGGGAAAUAAAAAGAUUUGAAUUCCUGUCCUAUACACAAGUUUUGUAGAAUUUGAUAGAAAAGUCAGAUUUGUUAUAUCUUACAACCCCUUUGAUGUUUCUUACAAUCUGCCUCUUUUUUUUUUUUUUUUUUUUUUUUUUUUGGCUUGUUUGCUUUUUAUUUUAUUUUAUUUUUUUUUACAUUUUUUAUUAGGUAUUUUCCUCGUUUACAUUUUCAAUGCUAUCCCAAAAGCAAUCUGCCUCUUUUAAAGCACUUUUUUGUCAAACUCAUUAAGACAUUACUCUCCCUUUUUAAAAAGUCCUAUUGUGGAGUAAGAAUCAUUGAUCAAUAAUCCUGAGUUAGGCCCCUAGUACAAAGAACGAAUUAUUCCAUCGAUUUCAUCUGCAUGGUUAAAGAGUCCACCUUCCUGGGAGUAGUUCCUUGGCUGGGAGGUUAGGCUGGCUCCACUGCAGUGUCUACAAAGGUCUCUCCAGAAGCCUCAGAUCCGAUCUCUUCCUGCAUUCCCGGAACCUUCCUUAAGACCCCCGUCCCACCUUAGUCUGUGCUUACAGAGCAGCUGUAGCAGUCUUUCAGGUCAUUGAUCUGUUCACAUAUCCUGCUCAAAGACUUCUCUUCCCAGGCUGAGUGUCCGGCCCCAUUGCUGCCACCUUCAGACCUCGCCACCUCUCUUUCUUUAGCCACGAGAGAAGCUCUGAGUUAGUGCUCAGCACCAUCAAACCCAGUCUGGAGUGGUACAUUAUUUAUUAUUCAUAUAUAAUCUGUAUAGAUAGAAAUGCUGGUCAUUGUUAUCUUCAUACAACUUGUUGAUAAGAAACAAUUAUUUGACAAGUGAACUAAAUCUCUCCUUUUAGUUUCUGUUCAGUAGAAGCCAAGAGUCUAAGCUCAUUUAGAAUUCUAUAACCCAUAGUCAAUUCUCUAUGACCUUCCCACCUAAUUUCUUAUACCUUUAUUUUUAUCCAACAGAGGACGGAAGUUUUUAAACACAUCCCGUUUUUACUUAAACACAUGUCAUUUUUACCUAAUUAUUUAGCAUCCAAAGCACGUUUUUGGAUUUGUCUGCCCCUGGAUCGAGUCACAACCAUCUCCAGUCUAUGUACCACUGUUCAUCAGGAGAAUUGUUCCCCUACUCUAUCCUCCAAAGGCCACCAAAGGGUCCUUAAUAGCAGAAAUUUGUGUCACCCCUGAGGCCAAAGCCUCCACAAAUUACACUUUUUAUUCUUAGGUGACUCAAAUGAACGUCUUAGCUCAUUUAUCUUUCAAGUUAAAACAUGUUCGUCUCUUCUUCCUGCAUUUCUUCUACCUUACAAGUUACCAACAUGUCCUCUGGUGCUCAGUAAUACACUACACCUUUAUAUAUGUUAAACACCCCUUCCAAUUUUAUUGUGAAUGUCUUUUGUAAUUAAACCUAGGUAUUUAUAAAAAUGAUUUAUUGUUCUAUGCCAGAAGCAAGCAAGAAUGUGAAAGUAAGAUGCGUCAUCCCUCUAAAGGUAUAUAAUCCAUAUUCCAUAUUGAAAGGAAUUGAAGCUCAGAAAUUAUUAAGCCUUGCUCCAUGCUUUUUAAUGUUUCCACUUUAAGGAAUAUUAUAAAACUGACAGCAAUAUAUGUGUGUGGUGGUUUGAAUAGACAUGGCCCCCACAGGCUUAGGCGUUUGAGUGCAUGGCUCAUACAAAGUGGCACUAUUAGGAGGUGUGGCCUUGUUGAAGUAGGUGUGGCCUUGUUGGAGAGAGUGUGUCACUGGGAAGGUGGGCUUCGAGGUCUCCUAUGCUCAAGCUAUGCCCAGUGUGGCACACAGUCUCCUUCUGCUGCCUGCAGAUCCAAAAGAUGUCAAACGCUUAGCUUCUCCAGCACCAUGUCUGUCUGCAUACUACCCUGCUUCCUGCCAUGAUGAUAAGGGACUAAACCUCUGAAACUCUAAGUCAGCCCUAAUGACAUAUUGUCUUUUAUAAGAGUUGCUGUGGUCAUGGUGUCUCUUCUCAGCAAUGAAACCCAAACUCAGGCCAUAUGGAAAUGUGAUCACAUAUGAUUUAGUGAGAAGAUAACACAAAAUUUACAGAUUACACGUUCACAUCUGGCUCUGUGUCUAGAUGAGAAAAGAGUUCAGAUGGGAAAGCUCAAUUUUAAUAGAUUCCUCAACCUCAAAAUUGUCCAGGGGCCUAGCAUUGAUAUAGCAUAUAGACCAGGGAGCUGAGAAAUCAAGCUUGACAAGGGGUUAGCCUUUGCUAACCACACAGUGUGUACUCUUUCCUACUGUGGGCAGCUCAGACUCAGGCGAGGGAGAGGAUCUGGUAGAAGAUGAUGAGAAAGGCUUUUCUGGAGGAGAAGUGAGGGAGAAUUGUAAAGGCAGAGAAGGAGCAGGAGGAGAAUGAGAAGGAAGAGCAAGAAAAUAUGGAAGGAGAGACCCAGCCCCGCACAGUCUGGCUUGCUCCGCAACCUCCCUAUCCAGGGAGGGCUGUUCUCACUCCCAGAUAAUGACAGGAACAAUGCUGGCCAAGUGAGUUCCAGGCUUUUCCAGGGCAUUACCUAACUGAAGCAGGGUGCUUGCUCUGAACUUGGCAUUGCUGUGUGGAAAAGUCACUGGGCUGGAAAUCAGAAGAGCGCAGUCCUGCACUCACUUUGGCUGCCAUCAACCUUGCUGAGGUCACUUAGCUCCUUUUGUCCUCAGCCACUUCAUGUGUGUGCCCUGUAAUCUGAACCACACAUGUCCUUUCUGAUUCCAAUGUUCUUUCCAAGCUGAACAUCUCAUGGUUACCGUAGUUGAAAGACUCAGCAUGUCCCAGCAAGAUGGUCACAGCUGCUUCUGAGCUGGCCUUUCUACCUCUACUCGAGCCCUGGAAAUCCACCCAUCUUCUUUGCUGUGGUAGAAGGGAACACCUAGUAUCAUAUUAGACCAUUUGUCCUCGCAAUUGUUCCCUGGCUGUCUAGUGCAAAGUCCCUUGGUGACAGUCCCACCACAUAGUAAUCACAGGGCCCAAGCCACAUCUUCAGCACUCUUUAAUCCCUAGAACGUAAGAGCAGCUUGUAGUUGCUCAAUACACCAUCUAGCCUUUUGUAUUGGCUGCUUCUUGCCAGGAUGUCCACCCUCGCUUUCCUUCACAUGGUUUAAUGUCUUCAUCCUUUCAUUUCUGUGUGGCCUUUCCUCCUGGAAGAUGCUCUCCCAAAGUCACCAGUGAUCCACAAGAAGGGAUACACUCUCCAGCAUCCGGCACAAACUCUGUUCUACUACAGUGACCCGUUGAGAGGCCUGUUCCCAAACUGGGCAGAACACUCCUGAAAAGCGACAGAUAUUCUUACCUUCCUGUGUAGCCCUAACUCAGUCCCAGCCCAGCCUUACUCUCCACAGAGCCUAGUACACACAGCCUGGCCUACACAAAGCACCGGUAAAUGUGUAUGACACUGAAGUCUGUGCCUUUCCAGUCACAGUUACAAAGAUUUCUGCCAAACUCCAGCACCAUCAGCCUUCAGCAAGCCCUCCUCGGAAUACUGUCCCAAGCUGCUGACCAAACAGACCCCAUCUCCAAUCCUUGAGAUCAGUUAGCUAGCCUAUCUGUUCGUCCUACCUCCCCAAGGUGGUUGGCAGGCUAAAUGCAGUCUCCCUGCUUCUUAUCCCCUCCCACUGAUUUUUCUAACUACAAGUGAAAGGGCUCCCCAGUCCCUGGGGUCCAGGCUGGUGUUGUACAGAGCUUGUAGCCCAGAGUCAUAUCUGACUCCACGUGGAUAUUAUGUUAAGCAUUACUAAACAGCCCUAACCUAUCAACUCUUGCCUUUGCAGGCAUUUCCAGUUGGAAUGUUUUUAGGCUGAAAAAGACAGGUUUGUGGAAAGGCAUAAACAUCUAUGGUGAGAGGUGACAUAUGUUUUCUCCUAGCGAAAGCAAGGGACUCCCGUAGACUCUACAGGUUUUGGACAGUGCAUAAAAUCCAUCUCGGAGGCAAUUAAUCUCCCGGCAGGCUUUUGAGUGAAGCAAUUACUCCAUGUUUUUCUUUGUCAUCGUUCGGAAUUUUAACACUGCAUCUAUCUACUUGAUUCCUGUCUGGAGAGCCAAAGGCUGCCUUAAAACCUCUGCAGCACGCAUAUGUAAAAGCACUCAGUGUUCACACGUUUUGAUUUAAAUAUUGACACGUUUUUUCAUUAGAACAUUAAACCCUUAGCUUUAGUCAUCUUAAAUGCUUUCCAGGAGAGUGACUUCCCUACUAGAAUGGCUCCUAGUAACUCAAUACAAACUUUGCAGGCCUGAGAACCUCGCCGUGGCCCGCUGUUGUGCUCUUUUUCUGUGGUGAGGCAGCUGUGACUGGUUAGGAACCAGCACUGGAAACAGUACUCAGAGUGUUCUUGGCAGAUUUCUUACAUCGUUAUUCAAUAUGAACUGCAAAUCAUAUGCUCAUAGUUAUGAGAAUGUCAGGAAACUCCUAGCGUUCAUGCUUUGUUUGACAAAGCGAUCGGAGUCGUGCUGGAAGGCAGAGGCAUCCUGGGUUUGCAGUAGAGAAGAAAGGAACCCUCCCAUGGCCAGCAGGUUUGGAGAUGUUGGUAACUCAGUCAUCUAUGACAAGAGGCCGGCUCCGCUCUGAUAGAUGCACAGCUCGUGGUCCUGAUGUAUACAUGAUGUGUGUCAAGGGGACCUGAGCUCUGGGAGGCAGUAUAAGAAGGCUCACUUCAGCUCAACUGAGCUUCAGAACAGGCUCAGUGAGCUCUUUACCUGUGUGUGUGUGUGUGUGUGUGUGUGUGUGUGUGUGUGUGUGUGUGUGUGUAGGUCAAACCACAACCUUCAGAGAGUCAGUUUUCUCUUUUCUCCAAAUGGGAUCAAACACAGGUCAUCAAGUUUAAUGACAAGUGCAUCUGCUGGGUGUUCCCUGAUUCUUUCUGCCUUCUUUUUUCCCUCCCUCCCUCCUUCCCUCCCUCUAUCUUCUUUUUUCCUCUCACUUCCUAAUUUCUCCUUCCUUCCUUCCUUCCUUCCUUCCUUCCUUCCUUCCUUCCUCCCCUCUCUUCUUCUCUCAUCUCUUUAUUUCUACUGCCCCAGCAGCCUCUGUACCACAUUCUUGUAAGACACAUAUGGGAAUUCUCAUUCUGCCCUCACUUUUUUUAAACCUUGCGUUUCAUUUUGUUUUGUUUUUAGUGGUUGCAUUUAAUAUUUAGGUUGGACCCAACUUUUCAUUGUUUAUAAGGACACUGAGAUGAAUGUCCUUACAUACCUUUACAUAUCGUUAUGAUUAUUCUCUAGGCUGAAAACAAUAAGUGGAGUUACUUCCUCAGGUAAAGCCUGUGCAAAAUAUACAUGCAGGUAGCCACCUAGUGUGUUGGGGCUUCUGUUGCCGUGAUAAACCAUUACCAAAAGCAACUUGGGGAGAAAAGAGUUUAUUUCAGCUUAUAAUUCCACACCACAGUCCAUUAUUAAGGGAAGUCAGGGUAGGAACUCAAGGCAGGAACCUGUAGGCAAAAACUGAAGUAAAGACCAUGGAGAACUGUUGCUAACAGGCUUGCUCCUCGUGGCCUUCCCAGCCUGCUUUCCUAUACUAGCUAGGACUACCGGCUGAGGGGUGACUCCACCAACCAUAGUGAGCUAGGCCCUGUCAUAGCAAUCACUAAUGAAGAAAAUGCCAUAUAUACUUGCCAACAGGCCAAUCUUAAUGGGGACAUUUUCUCAAUUAGUGUUGCCUCUUCACAGAUGUCUAGAUAUGUGUCACGUUGACAAAAUCCAACCAGCACACCUAGGAAACUCAUCCUAAGAGAUCUACAUCUAUCAUCACAGAGGAUAAUAUGAAUUUACCUGCACUCACUGCUGAGAAGAACCUGCUCAAUGGUAUCACGUUUAAAGUUCUUCUAUCACCUUUUACUCUUGGUAGAGUUAAACAUUUUCUUCCUGGGUUCAUUACAACUUUUGCCGUAUCUGUAUGCACAUCAUCUGUAGGUUUCUGUAUUUUCUAUGCCUAUUCUACUGUUAGCAGUAUUUUUCAGUAGACAUUUUAAGAGCCUAAUGGAUCUUCCCAAGCGUACACAAUUAGCUAGGUGACAAAAUAAGGUUCACAUUUGGGUUUUUCAAGUCAGUCUCUUAUCACAACAGGCACGUGGUGCAAAGACGCCAAAUUGCAGUAAUAAUGAUGUCUUUAAAUUCAAUAUAUUAGGAAGAGGCUCACUGGAUAGAAAAUUAAAACGGAGAGCAUGCACAAUGGAGGAAGAAGGCAGGUGCCCCUCCACGAGAAGCAGCAGGCCUUGACUUGAGUUUGCUUGUGCUUAUCACCCUAUGGGUAAUGGUUUCAGGGAUGUGAGUGUUAUCUAAUACCUCUUUUAUAAUGUGCCUUAUCUGAAAGAUCUCCACCAUCCCCUGAAACUUGCAGACUUAAAAUAAAUCUGGAGGGAAGUAUGAUGGGGCUGGUAUGAGGAAGGGGUCUUCUUCCUGCACAUAGGGAUGGUACCAUAUCCCAUAGCACUCUCUGCCUCCGUGGUCCUCAGCCUUCCUAAUGCUGUGACCCUUUAACACAGUUCCUCAUGUUGUGGUGACCCCCCCCCCCACCAUAAAGUUAUUUUCACUGUUACUUCAAAACUGUAAUUUUGUUACUGUUACGAAUUGUGAUAUAUGUGUGUUUUUGGAGAAUAGAGGUCUGUCAAAGGGGACGUGACCCACAGGUUGCAAACUGUCGCUCUACUGAGUCAUUGGGGAAGAAUGGUAUGAAAAAAAAAUCUCAGUGACAUUAAAGACAUUCAUGCCUUCGAGUCUUUUUUUUUUUUUUUUUUUUUUUUUUUUUUUUUUUUUUUUUUUGCUAAAGAGGGAGGAGCUGCCUGCCUUCAUUUCUACGUUACUAAGUUCACCGGAACAUCCAGAAAUAAGCUGAGAACUAGAUAACUAGAUGCUAUGAGGCUUCACAUAAACUGCCAUUCACUGACAUCAAAGAGACCUGGUCACUGAGAACUAAAAAUCAGGUCAGGGCAGAAUGAUUGAUGGAACUAGAGGAAUGACCCUGGACAGGAGAUGACUCCGGGCAACAUAAGAACAUUCUUCUCAAAGGCUCAAAGGACAGCCACACCUACUGAUGUGCAUGCUCAUCAAGCUCUUCCUUCUCUCUAUCUCUGCAGUGUCCUGGCACGUGGUAUUUACGGGGAGAUUGUGAUAUGCUAUUUACAUUCUUGGGGACACGGAAGAACCCCUGUCUUAAUACUUAAACAUUCCCUGUGACCGUUGGACAUCUAAAUGAGUGAGUGAAAGAAUAAACAUCAUGAUGGGUUGCAGGGGAAAUGGAAGAAGAUGUGGCAAUGCCAGCUGAAGGCUGAAGGGUUGAGGAGAGAAGGGCAGGCAGUCCUUUCCUCUUACCCUUCCCUGCAUCCCUGAGUCAUGUGGUUAAGUGAUAUGCAUGCUCCCUAUUGCUUUUUAAAAACUGUACGAAUUCCAUAACAGAAUCCGACCUCUUCGGAAGCUCAUUCAUGGAAACCGGUUUUCCCAGUCUCAUUUCCAGUUCUGACAAAACAGAGAGAAUCAGAUGGAAAAUUCCUGCCUGGAGCCAGCUGGUGCACACAGGGACAGCUAUGCAAGGGAAGACAAGACAAGGGGAAGGUGUUUCAUGAUCUCUGCCAAGAGUUCACCUGGAUACUUCUAUAAUGCCGUCACUCAGCAGUUCUCAGUCGUACUGAAAGGUAACUGAUGUCCAUUUUAAUCUUGUCAAUCAGAAAAGGCAAUAUGCCUAUUUUGUUAAUGCCAUCCCAAACAAUUUCUGUCAAUACCCAGGGCUCUCUAACAGAGAAGUAAAGGCCACUUAAGUGGGUUUCGUCCCUCCUUUGUUUAGAGGUGCCGCAGGACACCCUGUCAGGACUAACCAUCUCAGGAAGCAGCAGUGAGUUCACGCCUGCUCUAGCACCUUUGCACCCUUGCGAGUAAAUGCCUUUCCAUUAGCCACUCCUUUGGAAGCUAAGCCUUUAAGCUGCUGUGUCUCAACAUUUCACACAGAUAGUAUCAAAUGGGCGUUAACUGUCUAACAACCGGUAUUACGCUGAAGGAUGCUGAUGGUCUAAUCUUGCUGACCCAACUGACUGUCAAUCAUAUUGUGCACCGGGGAUGGCCCGAGGCUGCCCAAAUGGCAGUGUGCAAAAGGCCGUGCACAUUUCACAGCUCCAGCCAUUGUGUAGUCUCUCUUCUGUCUUCCAUGUAGCUGAGUCUCAUCUGGGCCCUGGGUUUGCUGUCAUGGUAGCACACGUGGAAACAAGUAAAAACAGAGGCACAGUAAGGGGACACAAAGAGAAACUAGGUUAAUCUCUAUGCACCAGGAGUCAUGCCAAGCCCUGCUAAAUUUCUCCUUUUAAGCCACAUGUGCCAUGAGUAAGAGGGUUAUCUUUAUUUUGCAGAUGGAGGAAGGCUGCCUGUUAGAUGUUGAAGCUGCCUUUGUCUAAAGCAGUUCUGUCAGAUUCCAAGCGAAUGAUCCUUGGGUCUUAUAAGCUCUGUAGUUUUGUUCUGUUUUGUUUUGAAUUUUGGAAAUAGCAACCUGAAGCACCCCUGGAAGUAUAGUACCUCACUCUCCUGACACAGAUGAGCCACUCCCAGGAGCUGCAGGUAGGGCUCCCGUGGUAAUAUGGACACUAAAGGUGAGUGACUGUGUCACCUAAGGUUACAGAUCAGAAACUUCAUAACUGACCAAGUGCAAGGGCCCCCUAAGUCCCUUCCUCACCCACGUUUACCAGGUUGCACGGAGGAGAAGGUCAUGACUGUGGGUUAAGGGUUAAUUGGCCCUCAAGUUUAGAAUCUUAGGAAUAACUCUGUGACUUAAAAGGAGUGACCAUCAACAGUGAAGUAAGACAUAAGAGGCCACAUCCUGCCUCCUUAGCAUACUGUGUUGAAACAGCACCAUGUAUGUGAAAGUCUUCUGCAGACCACAGGCACUUCAACCAACUCUUAUUUCUGUCUUCAUAGCUAUGGAAGAUAUCCCCCCUCCCUCUCUCAGCCUGCGUGUGAAAAUCACACUGUUGGGCCCUUUGUCGGAUACAGGUGAAGAAAGCAUGACUCCUGCUUCUAAAGUAUGUACAUUAUGGAGAUGAUGCUAACACGAGUACUAUUUUAAAAGUAAAGGAAAACAGAGAGUACAAAAUGAAGACAAAUAAGGACUCCAUGGGACCCGAAGGAAAAGCAAGUGUGGGAAUUUCAGGGAGAUAGAAGACAACGGCUCAGCAAAGACUUAUCUGGAAGAUGAGAUCCAAUCAAUGUGGCCGAUGCUUCAUUGAGCUUUGCAAUUUUCCAUGCAUUAGCCAUUCAUCACAGGCCUAUUAUAUGCUGGCUGAUAUGCAUGUUACUAGGGCAGCCUGGUUGGGUGGGAUGGGUGAGGCUGGCGGGCUGGCCAUGGGACAAUUCCCAAUGGGGAGCUAAAAGGCAGGUCUGAAGUCAGAAACAACAUGAGAUGGAUGGAUGUGAUCAGGAUAGAUGAGCUUGCCCAAACGCACAAGUGAGAUGAAGGCAGAGUUAAAAUAGGAAGGCAGUCAGAAAUGUUCACACAGAAGGCCCCUUGGAGAGAUAAUCAGAGUGGCCAUUUACAAAGGCUAUCCACAGUUGGGAAGAAACCACCACACAUAGCCAUAAGGGAUCUUUUAGUACCCUGGUAUCAGCACAUAGCUUUUCCUGAUGUACUACAGGUUCCUGCAGCCAUCAGCUUCUGGGCUCUGUUAACCAUGACAGAAGUAAGGAUUCAAGUGAUGCCUCUUGCUAUCCCUAUGACUUGGAUAAUUGACCCUUUCGUUCUGGGAUGACACUUGUCUUACUUCACAGGUUAUUUUGAGGAUUCGAUAAACUCAUCACAUAGCACUCAUGAUGACCCUUAGAAAAAGCACUUAAUCAGAGCCAGCUUCCCCAUACAGGUUUCACAGAUAAAGAUGAGGAAAUGUAAACUGACUUGCCCUAGGCUGCCUUCUCAAAGUCUGCUCCAGG